GGCCGGCUUGGCGCAAUUGGUAGCGCACCGCUCUUGUAAAGCGGUGGUUGCGGGUUCGAGUCCCGCAGCCGGCUCCC
rnacentral:tRNA from 1 species